AGUGAACGCUGGCGGUAGGCCUAACACAUGCAAGUCGAACGGCAGCACAGUAAGAGCUUGCUCUUACGGGUGGCGGGUGGCGGACGGGUGAGGAAUACAUCGGAAUCUACUUUUUCGUGGGGGAUAACGUAGGGAAACUUACGCUAAUACCGCAUACGACCUACGGGUGAAAGCAGGGGAUCUUCGGACCUUGCGCGAUUGAAUGAGCCGAUGUCGGAUUAGCUAGUUGGCGGGGUAAAGGCCCACCAAGGCGACGAUCCGUAGCUGGUCUGAGAGGAUGAACCGCCAACACGGAACUGAGACACGGUCCAGACUCCUACGGGAGGCAGCAGUGGGGAAUAUUGGACAAUGGGCGCAAGCCUGAUCCAGCCAUACCGCGUGGGUGAAGAAGGCCUUCGGGUUGUAAAGCCCUUUUGUUGGGAAAGAAAAGCAGCAGGUUAAUACCCCGCUGUUCUGACGGUACCCAAAGAAUAAGCACCGGCUAACUUCGUG
rnacentral:rRNA from 1 species